AAACGACCCUAACCUGAAGCUGAAAAGUCAGAAUGAAUUGAGCUGAACUUAUUACGCUAGUUUGGAUAAAAGUCCAUCGCAAGUCCUAAACAGAAGCAAAAUAUUAGGUCGGCCGGAAGGUUUUUGCCUCCAAUGGCAGCAAAGUCGUUUACAACUGUGCAAAUCUAUUGUACCUACAUCCUACUCCUUUUGAACCAAACUUCCACAUUUUCAGCUACCUCCACUGAUCCGACGAUACAACUAUGGACGUCAACUGCCUCCAGUGUUUUUUCUGAAUCGACGGCAGCGACAUCGUCUGAGAGACUGACCUCUCAUACUGCAACAAGUGAUUUAUCGAAAGAGGUCUCUCUGCAUAUUCCUCUUCCGUCUGAGAGCAUGAAAGCUAGAUCUAAAGGGCUCCUUGUGACAACCACUACAGUAACACUAACGAAACUUUUUUCUGUAGCGAUAGCAACAGAAGAAUCAAAAGCAUCAUCGUUCACGACGAAUACAUCCCUAACGCUUGAUACGUAUACAGCUGACCCAAUAGGUUUAUCUUCAUCUUUUGUCUCUAUUACAUAUAACACAACAAAAGAUAAAACUCAGUGGAAGGCAGCGAAUACGUCGUCAGCAUUGACAUAUACACCGCCUUUACAGUCAUCUUUGUCAUCUUCAGCUUCUGUUAGCUUCCCAAGAGACACCACGACGUCCUCAAUACAAACACUGUCAGCCUUUGCAAGACUCACGUUGGAGUCUGAAACUACUGACACGACAACGAAAGCCACGUCAUUUGUCGAAAGAUCUUUUGGCUCAACAAUAGGUUCAUCCCUUACGACUUUUGAUGCAGGCCUCACAACUAAAGGAUCGCAAAUACCAUCAACGUCUACACCGCACAUUGCUGCCAAUGUUAGUCUAUCAACUUCUGUAACGGAAACACCAUCAGUGUCCUCACUGUAUAACUUAAACACUUCUCCAAGUGUUGGCAGUUAUAGCAAAAAAGAUAACAAGGCGAUCCUAACAACACCGCCGUCUUCCGCAGGCCAAGUAUUAGACACAAAUGAAAGUGUUGCCACAGCAAAGACGGUGAGACCAACUUCUGAAGUAUAUAGAGCCGAUCCCACCACAAGUGGUGUUCAGUUCUCAGAAGUAAUAACAAUUCUGGCGUCGGACACUACGAGAAGUGCUGAUCUAUUUUUUAAAAUGAAAUCAAAACCAUCAACAUUUGCUAGUAAUACACCAGAUAUUAUUACUUCAAGAAUUGCUCCACCAACGACAAUAACACCCGAAUCAUUUGCUUCUGCAAGUCAGGCAACAGAUGCUACUGCAACUGUCACUCCAACAUCACGAUCGGCAGACGGAAAAACGUCGGGAGCGUCUGCAAACCUAACAAUACAUACUACCACAAGUGUUCUCUCUGUGGAGGAAACAUCAAAAUUACUAACGUCUACAAGUCUGGACUCAGAUUUUACCACAAGUAAUAUUCUCUCCAUAUCAGUAACAUCAAAAUCGUCGUCAACUUCUGCAAUUGAGGCAUCAGAUGUUUCUUCAAGUGCAGUUUUAUUCACAGCAGGAAAAUUAGAAUCAUCAACGUCUAUAAGUACUACACCAAACAGUACUACGAGUGUUAUUUCAUGCAUGGAAGUGGUCUUAAACUCACCACACAUUGCAACUCAGACUUCAAUUGGCACCACAUAUGUAGUUUCCUCCGAGCGAAUCAAACCAGAAUUAUCAGACUCUUUAGCAUCACAUGCUACUAGAAGUAUUGCUCCAUCUUCGGGAAAAUCAUCAACUUCAAAUCAAACAACACAAUCCUCUAAAAGUAAUUUUCCAAAUCUGGAAGUGACAUCAAAAUCAUCAAAGUCUACAAGUAAUGUACCCAAAAAAGCAUUAACAUUAAAAGCGUCAACUUCUGCCGGUCAGACAUCAGAUGUUUCUUCAAGCGUUAUUUUGAUCACAGCAGGAACAUCCAGAUCAUUUAUUUCUGCAAACAAUUCAUUACAGAUUACUAAGAGCGUUAUUUCAUCAGCAUUACCUCUUUCUGCAAUUCAGACUUCAAAUGACCCCACACAUGUAAUUUUAUUCGCGACCAUGAAACAAAAAUCUAAAUCUUCUGAAGUUCAGGGAUCAGACCCUACUGAAGGUUUUGUUCCAUUGACGUCAAAAUCGUCUUCUAUUGCAAGUCAAGCAUAUGGCGCUACUUCAAAUUUUCCUCUUAUCACCGCGGUAACCUCUGAAUCGUCAACGACUGUAAGUUAUACACCAGCCAUUACCAAAAGUGUUGCAAAAUCAACGACAAUAACACCUUUAUCCUUUUUAAGUCAGUCACUGGAUGCUCUUACGAGGGUAAUUACAUCUAUAACAACAACAUCAGAAUCAGUAACUUCUGCAAGUCAGGAAUCAGGUUCUGCCACAACUUUUGUUCUUUCCAUAUUAGGAACAUCAAAAUCUUCAACUUCUGUGAGUCAUACAUCAGAUGCUUCUACAAGUCUUCUUUUAUCCACAGCAAGAACAUCAAGAUCAUCAACUUCUGCAAUUCAUGUACCAGACAAUACUACAAGUGAUGUUUACUCCAUGGAAGUAACCUCUGGAUCAUUCCUCUCUGCGACACAGACCUUCAAUGACACCGCGUAUAUUAUUCCAUCUACGGCAACGAAACCGGAAUUUUCAGCUUCUGCAGUUCAGACAUCAAAUGUUACUGACAGCGUUGCUUCAUUUAUAGAAAAAUCGUCAACUUUUACGAGUCAGAUAUAUAACGCCAUCACAAUUUUUGUCCUUUUUACCUCGGUAACCUUCGAUUCACCAAGGUCUUCGAGUAAUACACCAGCGAUUACAAAGAGUGUUGGUCCAUCCACGCUACUAACAUCAAAAUCAUCAUCGUCUGCAAGUCAUGCACCAUUCACUACUACGAGCAUUCCUUCACUAACAGCAGUAACGACAAACUCAUCAACGUCUGGAAGUCAAGCAUCAGACGCUGCUACAAGGGUUACUCCAACCACAGCAAUUACAUCAAUAUCACCAUCAGCUCUUGUGAGUCAGGAAUUGGCUGCUGUUAGAACUGUUGUUCCACUCACAGUAGUAGCAUCAAAAUUUCUAAUGUUCUCAAGUCUGGAAUCAGAUUCUACCACAAGUAAUGUUGUCUCCAAAUCAGUAACAUCAAAACCGUCAACUUCUGCAUAUAAGGAAUCAGAUGUUUCUUCAAGUACAGUUUUAUUCACAUCAGGAAUGUCAGAAUCAUCAACUUCAAGUCCUACACAAGACAGUACUAGUGCUAUUUCAUCCAUGGCAGUGACUUCACCUUCACCACAUUCUGCAACUCAGACUUCAAUUGGCACCACAUAUGUAAUUUCCUCCGGGAGAAUCAAACCGGAAUUCUUAGACUCUGUGGCAUCACACGCUACUAAAAGUGUUGCUCCAUCUGUGGCAAAAUCAUCAACUUCUGCAAAUCAAACAAUACACUCCUCUAAAAGUAUUGUUCCACUUCGGACAGUAACAUCAAAAUCAUCAACGUCUACAAGACAGGAACCAGAUUCUGCUUCAAGUGGUGUUCCCUCCAAAGCAUUAAAAUUAAAAGCGUCAACUAUAGCAAGUCAGAAAUCAGAUGUUUCUUCAAGCGUUGUUUUGACCACAAUAGGAACACCCAUAUCAUUAACUUCUGCAAUCGAAUCAAUAAAGAGUACUAAAAGUGCUGUUUUAUCCACAUUAGUUUACUCUGCAAUUCAACCUUCAAAUGACACCGCAGAUGAAAUUUUAUUGGCGACGAUGAAACAAAAAUUGAAAACUUCUGAAGUUCUGGCAUCAAACCCCACUAAAAGUUGUGUUCCAAUGACGUCAAAAUCGUCAAACUCUGCAAGUCCGGCAUAUACCACUACUUCAACUGUUCCUCUUUUCACCGCGGUAACCUUUGAAUCGUCAACGACUGCAAGUUAUACACCAGCCACUACUUCAAGUGUUCCAACAUCAACGAUAAUAACACUAUUAAUCUUUUUAAGUCAGUCACUAGAUGCUUCUACACGUGUCGUUCCAACUAUAUCAAAAACAUCAAAAUCAUUAACUUCUGCAAGUCGAGAAUCAGGUUCUUUCACAAGUUUUGUUCCCCCCAUAUCAGGGAAAUUAAAAUCACUCACAUCUGCAAGUCAUAGAUCAGAUGUUUCUAAAAUUCUUCUUUUAUCCGCAGCAACAACGUCAGGAUCAUCAACGUCUUCUCAUGUACCGGACAAUACUACAAGUGCUGUUUUAUCCGUGGAAGUAACCUCAAAACUAUUCAUCUAUGCGACGCAGACCUUCAGUGACACCACGCAUGCUAUUCCAUCCACGACAACGAAACUAGAAUUUUCAACUUCUGCAGCGCAGACAUCGAAUGCUACUGACAGCGUUGCUUCAUUUAUGGCAAACUCUUCAACUUUCACAAGUCAGGUAUCAAACGCUAUCACAGUUUUUGUUCUUUUCACCUCAGUUACCUUCGAUUCGCCUACGUCUUCGAGUCAUAAACCAGCGAUUGCAACGAGUGUUGAUCCAUCUACGCCAGUGAUAUCAAAAUCAUCACCGUCUGCAGGUCAUGCAGCAUUCACUAGGUCGAGUAUACCUCCGGUAACGGCAGUAACACCAAAACCAUCAACGUCUGGAAGUGAAACUUUAGACGCUGCUACAAUAAUUACUCCUUCCACAGUAAUUACAUCAGAAUCGUUAGCUUCUGCGAGUCAGGAAUUAGAUGCUGUUAAAACUGUUGUUCCAUUCACGGUUCAAACAGCAUACGAUACUACCACAGUUGAUCUAUCCAUGGCAGAAACAUCAAAAUCCUUAGCUUCUUCAAGUCAGGUAUCAGACACUGCUACAAGUCUAGUCAAUCCCUCCAUACCAAAAACAUCAAAUUCGUCAACUGUUGUACCAUCCAAGGCAGUAACACCAAAAAUAUUAUUUUCUGCAAGUCAGGCAUCAGACGCUACUACAAGUGUUUCUGGUUCCAUUGCACGAAGAUCUGAAUCAUCAAAUCCUGCAAAUUACACACUUGAAGCUACUACAAGUAUUCUUCCUUCCAUAGCAGCAAUCUCAAAAUCAAAAUCAAUAACUUUUGUGAGUCAAACGUCAGACGCCGCUAAUAGUGUUAUUCCGUCGAUGGCAGGAACAUUAAAAUCAUCGCGUUCAGUAAGUCGGGGAAUAGAAACAUCAACAAGCUUUCUUACAUCCACUGUUGUAACAACCAAAUCAGAAACAUCUGCAAGUCUGACAAUAGCUACAACUUCGAGUUUUGCCCACUCUAUCUCAGUAAGACCAAAGUCAUCGCCUUUUUCAAGUCAGGCAUUAAAUGUUGCUAUAAGUGUUGAAUCAUCCAUAGCACCAACAGCAAAUUCAUCAAGCUCAACCAAUCAGGCAACAGACGCUACUGACGCCAGCGUUUUUACAACUAUGGCGGUCACUCUGUUAUCAAGAACAUCUGUAAGUCUGGCAACUGAUGUAACUACGAGUGUUGUUUCAUCCGUAGCAGUAACAGUAGAGGGACUGCAUUCUGCAGGUAGGAAAUCAGAUGCGACGACAACUUUGUAUGCACCCUUGGCAUUAACAUCAAUAUCAUCAGGGUCUGCAAGUCAGGCAACACAUGCUACAAUAGGUUUCGAUUCUUCCAUGACAAUGACAUCAAAGCUAUCAAGGUCUGCAAGUCAAGCAACAGAUGCAACAACAAGUUUGGUUCUAUUUGUAGCUGUAACAUCUAAACCAUUACGUUCUGCAAGUCGGGAAUCCGUACCUACUACCGCAAGUGUUUUUCCAUCCAUAGCAGUAACACCAAAAUUUUUAACUUCCGCAAGUCAAGCAACUAAGGCAACCACAAGUGUCGAUCCAUCCAUUUUGGAAGCAACAAAAUCAUUUCGGUCAGCAGGUCCAGCAUCAGAUGCUGCUACAAGCGUUUUUCCAUCCGUAGUAUUAGCACCAACAACUAGUUCUGCUACUCGGGCAAUAGACGCUAUUAGAAGUGUUGUUUACCCCUGGUCAGGGGCACCAGAAUCAUCGAAUCCUGAUAGUCAUAUAUCAGGUCCUACUACAAGAGCUGAUCAAUCCAUGGCAGUAUUGCCACAAUCAACCACUUUUACAACUUACAUACCAGAAGCUACAUCGAGUGUCCCACUUUCGGCUUCGAUAACCAAACAAUUAUCAACUUCUAUAGACCAAGCAUCAGAUGCUUCUACUAGUGUUACCCAAUCCACAAAAACAACGUCAACUUUGUCAAUGGUAGGAAGUCAAACACUGGACACCGCUACAAAUAUUGUUUCAACCGCGGAAGUAACAUCUGGAUCUUUAACUUCAGUAAAUCAAACACCUGACGAAACUUCAAGGACUGUUCCGUCUGUGGCAGUAACACCAACAUUAAUGACUUCAAGAAGUAAAAAACCCGGCACAAGUGCUAAUGUUGUUACAAGUACGGCAAUUGCACCGACACCAUCAACUUCUGUAAGUAAAUCCUUAGUUGCUACUGGAAGUGGUAUUCGAUCUCAGGCAGUAAAAAAAAUGUCAUCAAUGUCUCUACGUCAUUCACCAGACGAUACUACAAAUUUUUUGUUAACAUCAAGACUAGCAGUUGACGAUUCUACAGCAAUGACAUUAGUAACUUUAGAACCAUCAAAAUCUUUCAUUCCUGUUCUGCCUGCGGCAACGAGUGAAUUAGAAGGAAAGCAACCAUCAUGGACGCUUGUUAGUGUCACAGCAGGCGCUGCAUUGCCAGCCCCUUGUACUAAAGCAAGCGAGUGUUUUGGUAUCGACAGAUGUAUUUCUAACCCUUGUCAGAAUAACGGAACUUGCAAACAACAAGGCCAAUCCUACUUCUGUGAAUGUGCAGUGGAGUAUGAAGGAAGAGUAUGUGAAAACGGUAAAGCGCUCCCCAAAAGGUAUAGAGUAACAGCGAGAAUACAGGGGAAAUACAAAUCAUCGUACAGCAAUCUUGAUUCAUCCGAGUCCCUAGCCUUUAUUAAGAACUUUACGGAAAGAGUGGGUCGUUUCUUAAAGGUGAAACUUCCUAGAUAUAGAGGAAUUGAGGUCACCAGAUUAUCAAAUGGUAGUGUGGUGGUCGAUUUUAUCAUUAUUAUGGAACGCAACUCGAAAACCACUGGGAAUAACAUAGAGCUCGCUCUAAUUGAGGGAAAUAGCACUGGAGAGCUUGGAGUCGUGUUAAUAGGAAAUAUCAGAAUAAAAGAGAUUGCAGAAGCCUCCACCACGAGUACAACUACCAGCACUAAAGACAAAGGACUUCAAAAGUGGAUAAUUGUAAUAUCUGUAAAUGGAAGCAUUGUACUACUGUUUAUCUUGAUAAUUGUUAUCCGUUCGUUAAAUUGUAGGCGUGUUGAAAAGGAAGCGGAUGGUUCCGCUGCGACGAAUGGCAAUCAGAAAAGUGAUAGCACGGUAACAAAGCCUUCCAGCCAGAUUUUGACACAGAAACGCUGGCACAAGUUUCCAUGUGAAAGGGACAACUGCGAUAUUGAAAUGAACGAUAUAACGGUAAAACUGUAAGGAAGACUGGAGAGGCCGUAGGACUCAGACUCCACUCACUUACAGAUUACGAAGGAGAGUCCCCAGGAAAGGCCCAACUUUAAAUGUCGAGGAAUAUUGUGCAGAACACCUUGCUCUUCAGCAUGGUUUUCUCAGCAAUGUUGCUAGAUGCCUUUCAAGACCACGCGGGAAAAGGCAUUCGAACCAGAUACAAGACUGAUAGAGAACUGUUCAACUAGCCGCCUUAAAGCUGUACAAAAAGUCCCUAAGGCUGUUGUUAGGGACCUCUUGUUUGCCGACGACUGCGUUCUGAAUGCAAAA
rnacentral:misc_RNA from 1 species